UACGUAGGGUGCAAGCGUUGUCCGGAAUUAUUGGGCGUAAAGAGCUCGUAGGCGGUUUGUCGCGUCUGCUGUGAAAACUCGGGGCUCAACUCCGAGCUUGCAGUGGGUACGGGCAGACUAGAGUGCGGUAGGGGAGACUGGAAUUCCUGGUGUAGCGGUGGAAUGCGCAGAUAUCAGGAGGAACACCGGUGGCGAAGGCGGGUCUCUGGGCCGUAACUGACGCUGAGGAGCGAAAGCGUGGGGAGCGAACGGG
rnacentral:rRNA from 1 species